ensembl:miRNA
AAGUUAAGACUAUACUUUCAGGGAUCAUUUCUAUAGUUUCUGACUUGAGAAAUGUGCUUCUAAAGUGUUUGG